rnacentral:rRNA from 1 species
UACGAAGGGGGCUAGCGUUGCUCGGAAUGACUGGGCGUAAAGGGCGCGUAGGCGGUGGACACAGUCAGGCGUGAAAUUCCUGGGCUCAACCUGGGGGCUGCGUUUGAUACGUGUUUGCUAGAGUGGGGAAGAGGGUCGUGGAAUUCCCAGUGUAGAGGUGAAAUUCGUAGAUAUUGGGAAGAACACCGGUGGCGAAGGCGGCGACCUGGUCCUUGACUGACGCUGAGGCGCGAAAGCGUGGGGAGCAACAGG